AAUAUUAAUAUAUUACACUCUCGCGGCGACGGAGUUGCGAAACGACUUUAUACGACCCGACCGUGUGUUUAACGUUACGCAAUUAUUGUUGUUUUAUAUUUUCUGUGCUUCGCGUAUAUAUAUUAUUUUUACACUGCAGUUUAGUAAUAUUUCGGUAUCGUCAUCCACCACCGCAGUCGCAGUCGAACGCGCUUAUGAGGCUAUCAAUGCAGGUGGAAAGUGCGUGUGUGUGUUGGAGGAAGAGGGGCAAAGGCGUGUGCAUAUGGUGGUUUGAAAAGGAUUUAUUGCACACUCGUGUGCGAGUGCACUCGACUCGAAAAUUGCACGCACCGAUGAUCUCAGAAACAUUGCGGGGAGGUGGCGUGUAAAUCGAGAAGACGCGAGUUGAUAACCGCGGACGAAUAAUAAUUAAGUAUCUCUUCGCGAAUUAUUUUAGCGUAGAUACAUAAUAUCAAACUGCGUUCUCGACGUUCUCGAUCGACCAGCGUAUUAUAUUAUAUUUUCUGUAGAAGUGGAUCGUCAUACCUGUGAUCAUCAAUCAAAUCAUUUUAAUUUGUAUGCGCCGCCAGACUACGUCGUAACGGUUUACACAUUGUGCGUAAAUGGAAAAUCUGCAGAUCUGUAGGUACUGAUUCGACUGAAUUCCGUUAUGUAAAGUAGCCGAAGGUCUUCGCGAAGUCGACAAUGACGAUGUUAUGCGAUUGCUGACGCUGACACAGUCACGUAUACCUACGUGCAUAGAUACUUUAAUAUAUUAUAAAUGUGUAUUCAACAAGGACGAUAGGUGUUGAUUUAUAAUAUUAUACUCACGUAAAAAUAUAUACUCGUGUAUAUUUAGGUAUACAACGUUUACAACAUGCAAUAAUAAUAGUGGCGAAACGGACAUACAAUAUUUUUUGUGAAAUGAAUUUAGUCAGCUGCAUACCAUUGAUUUAUUUUGUUAAGAAUGAUCCUGGUCAAUUUAAAAAACUGUAGAACCAUAAUCAACACUAAUAUUAUAUACAAUGAAGUAUAAAUAAAAUUAUGAUAUUGACAACUGUCAAGAGAUGAUCACUUACAGUGUGGAUUGAAGUCAUUCCGUCCACGCGUAAAUCGAUUCAUACAACAAUACAACAUAGCUUAUUAUUAUCACUAUACUUACUUACAAAAGUGUAAGUUGUUAAUUCAUUAAAUUUCUAUUGUGAAUUAAAAUUAUACAGGUAAAUUAAUAAAUGUUAUAAAUAAUAAUUAUGGAAUGCUUUAUAUCAUAUAAUAAAACGUAUAAAUAAUAUACAUGUUUUACCACAAAAUUAAAUUUAAAAAGUCUUAUCAUCAUAUUGUUAUAUAUAAUAAUGUAUAAAUACCGAUUGUAUUUGUGAUCGUUUAUUGUAAUAUGUGAGUCUAUAUUUGAGGCUUGUAGAACUAGGUGUAAUAUCUCCGUCUUACAAACUAUAAAAUAAACUUAU